UCCUUCGUGGUCCAGAGGUUAAGAUUCUGCACUUCCAUUGCAGGGGGUGCAGGUUCAAUCCCUGCCUGGGGAA